CCUGAGCCACGGCUCAGCCAGGGACAGAGGUGAGGAGGAAGAGCUUUUUGACCAGAAGAAAGCACAUCUCAGAACCAGAGAGAAGUUUGGUGUGGCCAGAACCUCUCAAAGAUGGAGUCUGGGUGAGGUCGCUCAAGAUUGCCAGUGUGGAACAGCCACAAAAACACACGGAAAGAGAAGAAACAUUACCUCAAUGACAAAAGAAAAGCCAAGUUUAAGUCAAACUGGGAAAAGGAGGUUGCACUGAGUCUCCUUAAGCUUGUGACCGGCUGAGUCUACAAGGUUCUCCUGAGAGCCAUAGUCCAUCCAAUCCUGUAUGUGGCUUCAUCAGACAUUCAGCAGUGCCUGGGAGGCACGGUGAAGUAUGCUGAAAGUGACCUUCAGCUUACUCAUAUCAUCUUGACACAAGUGAGCCAGGCUCUACCCUUGUAAUUUUCAUUAUUAACCACAAGAAGAGGAGCUUCUCUCAGUAGGAAAUACAGCAUCCAAAAAUAUAUAGUUUUUUGCAGACAUGUUUAAGAUGUAAAUUAAGGUGAGGUCAUCGUGGAGUAUGCGGGUGCUUAAUCCAAUAUAACUUGAGUCCUUUUAAGAAGAGAAAGGAGAUGAGACAGACACACAGGAAGAAUACCACGUGACCACAAAAGCACUCCAAGAAACCCCACCAGAAGCUAGAAAGAGGUGUGCUCAUUCUGGAAGGCCAUGACCUGGAUAAUUUGGCUGAGGAAACUUCUCAUGAUGAUGUGGCUACCUGUGGUGUGCUUACCUGGUUUCCAGGCGCCAAGGACAACAGGAUUCAAAAUAAUAUUCUGUGGCUGACUCAGGUUCAGUUCUCAAAGGGGUGCAGCAGAGCAGCAUGUAGGAGGCAUAUGCAAAGAAGCUUCCAGAUGCAGGACAGAACGUGGCCUCAGGAAGGUCAUGCGGGUCAAGCUGAUUACCUCCUCCAGCGCUGGCAAGCAGAGGGCUCAGCUGGGUUACCCAAGUUCACAGGAGCUGUUGACAUUCAGCUGCAGCGCUCACUCCUUACUGAUGGGCAGGAGACAGUCUGGGCCUCUGGUUAACUCUUCCGUGCCCUGUUUCAAGAUUGCACCGAGGUCAAAAAAGAACCUGUGACUUCACCUCAGCUUAUUCCUGGUUGUAUUGAAGAAAUAAACCCAUUAAACCAA